rnacentral:rRNA from 1 species
UAUCCUUAUUUGCCAGCGCGUAGUGGCGGGAACUCUAAGGAGACUGCCGGUGAUAAACCGGAGGAAGGUGGGGACGACGUCAAGUCAUCAUGGCCCUUACGGGAUGGGCUACACACGUGCUACAAUGGCAAGUACAGAGGGCAGCAAUACCGCGAGGUGGAGCGAAUCCCACAAAGCUUGUCGUAGUCCGGAUUGGAGUCUGCAACUCGACUCCAUGAAGUCGGAAUCGCUAGUAAUCGUAGAUCAGAAUGCUACGGUGAAUACGUUC